AUGUCGAUGCUGGAAGCCUUCUUCGGCAAGGGCGGCGCCGCCGCCGGCGGCGGCUUCCGCGCCGCCAAGUGCAAGACGCUGCUCAAGCUGUCCAUCCCGCGGAUAAAGCUGCUGCGGAACCGCCGGGAGCUGCAGCUGCGCCAGAUGCGCCGGGACAUCGCCAAGCUCCUCGAGGCCGGCCAGGAAGCCACCGCCAGAAUCAGGGUGGAGCACAUCAUCCGGGAGGAGAACAUGAUGGCGGCGCAGGAGAUCCUGGAGCUCUUCUGCGAGCUCGUCGCCGUUCGCCUGCCCAUCAUUGAGGCCCAAAAGGAAUGCCCUAUAGAUCUCAAAGAGGCAAUAUCCAGCAUCUGUUUUGCUGCUCCUAGGUGUUCAGAUUUGCCUGAACUGAUGCAAGUCCAAAUGAUGUUUGCGACUAAAUAUGGGAAAGAAUUUGCUGCUGCAGCUGCAGAGCUUAUGCCGGAUUCUGGGGUCAACCGGCAGAUAAUUGAACUACUUUCAAUCCGUCCUCCUCCAGUAGAUAUAAAGAUGAAACUGCUGAAGGAGAUUGCUGAGGAGCAUGAGAUCGACUGGGAUCCAUCAGCAACAGAGACGGAAUAUCUUAAACCCCAUGAAGAUCUAUUGAAUGGACCAACCUACUUCAGUGGUUCAACGCUGCCACUUCCAAAGGAGAAACACGUGGAACCAGUAGCUGCAAGUGCCACUGACGAACCUGGUGAAGAUUAUGAAUCUGAUGGCGGCUUUGACUCACUGGAUUUGCCUGAAGUCCCAAAAGCAGCAAUUCGUCCAGCUUCUGGUACUCAAUCAACCCCAGAUAUUGGUCCACAUGUGCAAAGCUCACAGUCGUCUGCUCAUGAUUUCUCAAACCCACCUGACUUGGAAGAGAAUCCAACAGCUGAUGCUGCUUUCUGUAAUUAUCUGAAAAGUUCAGAACCCCCAGUUUCUCCACAAUUUGCUCAGCCAAGGAUGCCAGCUUUACCAGAUGAAAAGAAGCAAUUUGUUCCUUUUGUCUCUCCCCCACCAUUUGCUUCUGCUGCUUCUUCUAUGGAGAGAAGUGACUCGAUUCCCUUAAAUUCUCCUCCAGUGAAGCCAACAGAGCAAGAAUUCUUCACAAGGCCAGUUGAUGAAGUGACUGCUCCCCAAACACCCAAAGAUUUGAACAUGUUCUCGAAUCGUCCAGAACAGGUGCAUUCGAUCUCCCCUAUAGAGAGCGGGGAAAAUAUUGAUAUGGAUGGUGUGGUUUCAGCUGCCCAAACAGCUGCUGAUUCAGCAGAGCGAGCUGCAUCAGCAGCACGUGCUGCUGCAAACCUUGCGAAACUGUGCAUUGCCGAUCUAAAGAAGAACACUAGGGUUUAUGAGAGCCACAGUGAUGAUAGCCAAAAGGAAAGUCAUCAUCAAACUGAGGUGACGCAGAAACCGGUAUUUGAUCAUCAGGACUCUUUUUCCAAUGACUUUGAGGGUUAUGCGCCAUCUCAUGUGCCUCAGAGAUCAACAUCGUUGGAGGACGAUCCAUUCAACUACCCCAACCUCUUCUCAUCGAAGCCUUGA
rnacentral:rRNA from 1 species